GUGAGGGGCUGGGCGAAAGAAGGGAGGGGAGAGGAUGGGGAAACGCGCGCCCCAAGAGCGAAAGCAAACAGCCAGCUAGGGAGGCGCUGCCGGCAGCUCAAGCUUCCCAACAGGUUAGCUAGACUGGGAUCCACCCGGUAUUUCGCAGGAAGGGGGGGGUC
rfam:Dipodomys ordii cont1.159316, whole genome shotgun sequence.